GAAUUAAACUCAUAAGUCAAGGCCCCACUGUAUUACGAUAUUAGCAGGUGAAUUCUGGCACUAGGGUGGUGGACCACAGGGCUGUGUAACUAGCAGUUCUCAAAUUUAUUUUUCUGAAGCACUGUGUGUUAAACAUGGAUUGGGUAAAGAGUUCCAUUAUUUCGCCAAAAUCCAUUUCUCUCCUUAUAUGCCAUGCGAUGUGUUUUGUUAAAGAAGUUUGUAGUUUGCUAACAUGGUUGCCUUUCUAUGUUGUUUUUCUUUCCACUGUUUGAUUUUUGCAUUGCGCUUGGUAUUUUUCAAACACUCCUGCUGUGUAUGUACUUGGUUAUGAUCAGAUUUUAUGAGCUGUCCAGGUGCCCCGGGUAUCAUCCAGGUGUGCCAGGCAUGGGGAUGAAAUAGCAUGAGUAGAGCUGCUGGGGUGAGCUUCAUCUCUGCAUCACAGUGGACUUCAUUCCCCCCAAAUUUUUAAAGGGGCCUCAAGAGGGUGGGACAGGGCUUCAGCCUGCCUGUAGGUGUGGGGGGCAGGGGCUCCCCCUCUGGGCUGUGGACCUGUGCUCUCCGCUGCACCCUGAAGGGGGUGUGGGAUGAUUGUCAGUGUAGCGUGACCCAGGCAGCCAGCAUCAAAGGCAGGCGGAGAAACACAGUGUCAAGGCAAAUGGGGAGUGUGAUGAGGGAGGGAGGCCAGCCCACCCCAGGGAGGCGACCUGCUUACUGCCAGCUCAGCUCAGCGCCCAAACACCUCCUUUGCUCUCACUUUUAUGCCCUCCAAUUGGAACUCUUUUUCCUCGCAAGAAAUCUGAAAAAAGAAGCAGAGUUUGCUACAGGGAUUGUUUCCACAAUAGUCCUCACUCUUUUAUGAGCACAUGUUGUACGCGGCGCGCUGGGCAGUCUCAACCUCCCAACCACUUUGCCCCGUCACCCAGUUAUAAUAGUGGUUGCUGUUGAGAACUUGCUGCGUUUCCUCCUGGGUCUCUUCAGUUCAAGAGAAGUGUUAUUGUAACUGUGAGAGAUGGGGAUGUCAAGGCUCACAGCGGGGGCCAGGCGCUAACGGUACUUCUCUACAAAACAGAGUUCAUGGGGGAGGCUGACAGCCAACAGAGAAACCAAGAGAUGUUUCACAUGCAGAGGUCCCAGGUGUGAUGGAGAAUAAAGAACAGAGUGACUGGGUGGGGGACAGGUGGUUGAGACGGGACUAGUAUGGAGCCAGAGUUAGAAGCAUCAGAGGCAGGAACUAAGCACAGUUCUCAUGGCUCCUAGGACACCUCACUCUGGCUGUAUUUCCAUUGUAAUGAAAAGAAAAGUGUAUGAGAAACCCCCUUUAUUACUGGGAAGAAAGCUUCUCUCUGCUGACCUGAUGGUUGGGUAAGGAGAAUGCUGGACCAGAAAUACCUGCUUCCAGGAUGACUCGGUGAAAGUUGUCUUGGACCCUCAGGGCUCCCACCUCUUAACUGAGACUGCCUGGCUCCACCUGCACCGCCUUCCUGUUUGUUGGGGACCAGCAGCCUGUGCACGCCCACUUGGAAGGCCGUCAGUGGGUAACUAGGACUGGCUGGGUCACUGGGAGAGGAGGCGAGCGGCGGGCAUUGUGGAAAGAAUAUGUCUUCACUCGGGCUUGAUGAUCAUCUUGCUGCUCAUCGACGGUGGCAGGCAGCUGUGUACAAAGACUGGAUUCACACCAAGCCCCACUGGCAAUGGGACGGCACCUCUCAGUGGUGCGACAUUUGAGGGUUAACUCACGGAUGCCUCGAGCACCUGCUGCAGGAUGGCGCCACUGGUUUUCUCUCUGAGCCACGGAGAAACUCUCACCCCUUCAGCACGUCAUGACGAUUGUCCCCCAUGCAAUUGUGACUGUUCCCCCCAAUACCAGCAUAUUGACAUUUGAGUGACAGUUUUGCCUUCAUUGAAUUAUGCUCCUAUUAGAUUUUUUUUUAAUCUACUAUUUUUUAUGAACCAGGAACUAUAUAUGUAUUUUUUUUUCCUCCCUUUCUUUUUCCUUCCUAAACGUGUCAUGGUUAUUUCAUAAACCACAAGGAACACUUG